GCUGGGUAUGGUGGUGCAUACCUGUUGUCCCAGCUACUCAGGAGGCUGAGGUGGGAGGAUCGCUUGAGCCCAGGAGUUCGAGGCUGCAGUGAGCCAAGAUCACACCACUGCACUCCAGCCUGGGCACCAGAGUGAGACCCUGUCUCUA
ensembl:misc_RNA Metazoa_SRP Metazoan signal recognition particle RNA